GCACCUUGAUGUAGUUGCCCGCAUCGUCGAAGACAUCCUUCUUGUUGAGGAAGAGGACGAUGGAGGUGGUGGCGAAGUAGCGGUGGUUGCAGAUGCUGUUGAAGAGGACCAUGUCGUAGGCGCUGAGGGCCGCGAUGAAGAUGAUGCAGGUCACCCCCUCGAAGCAGUGGAUCCACUUCUUCCGCUCUGAGCGCUGUCCGCCCACAUCGAACAUCCUGGGCAGGACAAGGAAGAGUCAGUGUCCCCCAUCCCCCUGUCCACCCCUGGCACCAGCCUUCAUUGGAAGCUUGGCCCCCACCUGAAGUUGAGGUCUUUGAAGGAGAACUGGGUCUCGAUGAUGCCGGUUGUCUUGACCCGGGAACGCAGCACAUCCUGCUCUGUGGGGACGUAGCCGGGGGUCACCAGGCGCUCCAGGUCUGACAGAUAGCUGGCCGGGCACGUGGUGGGCAUGAGACACAGGUUGGAACCCCCUGCCUGACCCCUCCCCCUGCCCACACCCCCCACCCCACAUACUAGCCCGCAGAGUCAUUGAGCUGGUACUCGGAGGCACGGUCAAAGCAGGCUUGGAUGCCUGAGUCCUUCCAGAGCCGCCCGAUGAUUUCUGACAUCUCCUUGGGCAUGGUGCCCUCCUCAAUGGUGUCUGAGAGGUGCAGGAGCUUGCGGGCAUCAUCCUACGAGGGAGAAGGGUUCAGUGGGGCCAGGGGGCUGCAGGGACCCUCUGCCAGCAUGGGAUGCUCCUCACCUGGCGAGCUGUGUCCCCGUACUGGAUGCUGAGGGUGGUCAUGGCCCUCACGAUGGCCAGCAUGGACUGGAGUGUGUUGCUGUAGAUGAUGGCAAUGAACUCCAGG